rnacentral:lncRNA from 1 species
CUACAAUGUAAAUUUGGAUGCCAUCUACUAUGAGGGUCUGAAUUGGGGAAUCUUCAUUACUUUACUCUUUAUUUUUUUUAGAUCAUAUUCUCUCCCCUUGAUUCAAUUUAGAUCAUAGUUCUCUAAUCUGCAUAUUUCAAAACACUGUAUUUCUUAAUUUCUGUUUUUUUUCUUUCUAUUUUAUUAUUUUUAUCUCAUUUGCAUUGUUUAUCCUUUAUUCUCUAUUCUGUAAACAUGGUAAGCCCACCCAAACCUUUAACAUUUGAUCUUCUUAUCUUUUUUAUUUACAGCAAUAAAACGCCAAACAAAACACUAUCUGUCAUAUAUUGAAUCAGAUUUCACUUCACUUUAAAAUAAAGUGUUAAUUAGAAACAUCCGAAGGUGAUUAAAAGGUCAUUAAAGCACGUCAUAUCGCGAUCGAUUCCUUGUGUAAUAUCUGUGCACAAUUUCAUGCCUCGUAGUCAAGUAUUAUCUUUUUUUGCACUUUUAUAAAUAAAGGCAACAGUAGUAUACCGCUGUUCAAAACUCAUAAAUCCAUGGACAAAAACAAAAUCGGGAUAACAAACUAAAACCGAGGGAAACGCAUUAAAUAUAAGAGGAGAACAACGACAUAA